AAUCCCAGUGAUGAAUGAAUUAAUUUAAAGUAGUGGACUGACAUCCAUUGAUGACUAUUCAAUUCUGAGGGAUC